GGUGAGAUGACCGAGUUGGUCUAAGGUGCUAGCUUCAGGUGCUAGUUUCUUCGGAAGCGUGGGUUCGAAUCCCACUCUCAUCA